UACGGAAGGCAGCAGUGGGGAAUAUUGCACAAUGGGCGAAAGCCUGAUGCAGCUAUGCCGCGUGUAUGAAGAAGGCCUUAGGGUUGUAAAGUACUUUCAUCGGGGAGGAAAAAACAAAACUAAUAAUUUUAUUUCUUGACGUUACCCGAAAAAGAAGCACCGGCUAACUCCGUGCCAGCAGCCGCGGUAAUACGGAGGGUGCUAGCGUUAAUCAGAAUUACUGGGCGUAAAGAGCACGUAGGUGGUUUUUUUAAAGUCAGAUGUGAAAUCCCUGGGCUUUAACCUAGGAACUGCAUUUUGAAACUGAAAUACUAGAGUAUCGUAGAGGGAGGUAGAAUUCUAGGUGUAGCGGUGAAAUGCGUAGAUAUCUGGAGGAAUACCUGUGGCGAAAGCGGCCUCCUAAACGAAUACUGACACUGAGGGUGCGAAAAGCGUGGGGAGCAAACAGGGAUUAGAUACC
rnacentral:rRNA from 1 species